rnacentral:rRNA from 1 species
AUUGAACGCUGGCGGAAGGCCUAACACAUGCAAGUCGAACGAGUGGCGGACGGGUGAGUAAUGUCUGGGAAACUGCCUGAUGGAGGGGGAUAACUACUGGAAACGGUAGCUAAUACCGCAUACCAUCAGAUGUGCCCAGAUGGGAUUAGCUUGUUGGUGGGGUAACGGCUCACCAAGGCGACGAUCCCUAGCUGGUCUGAGAGGAUGACCAGCGACACUGGAACGGAGCGUCGGUCGAGAAUACUACGGAGGGCAUCAGAGGGGAAUAUUGCACAAUGGGCGCAAGCCUGAUGCAGCCAUGCCGCGUGUAUGAAGAAGGCCUUCGGGUUGUAAAGUAAUUUCAGCGGGGAGGCGUUACGCGCAGAAGAAGCACCUGCUAACUCCGUGUCUGCCGCCGCGGUAAUAA